UCGAGGUGGAGCAUUACAGAUUUUCACUGUUUCUGAAAACCGUUUUCAAGGAACAAUCCCUAAAAGCUUGAGAAAUUGCACAAGCUUAAUCCGAGUACGGCUUGAUGGAAACAACCUUACUGGAAAUAUUUCAAAAGCUUUCGGCAUUUAUCCUAACCUGACUUUCAUAGAUCUCAGCCGCAAUAAUUUUUACGGUGAAAUCUCGUCUAACUUUGGGGAAUGCCCAAAAUUAGGCGCUCUCAACAUUUCGAGGAAUAACAUUACUGGAGGUAUACCGUGUGAGAUUGGAAACUGGUCUCAACUACAAGCACUCGAUCUUUCAUUGAAUCAUAUAGUUGGGGAGAUUCCAAAGGAACUUGGGAAGUUAAAUUCGCUAACCAAGCUCAUUUUGAGAGGGAAUCAACUUACAGGACGCCUGCCUACAGAAAUCGGCGCAUUCAAUGAACUUGAAUACCUCGACUUAUCUGCAAAUAGAUUCAACAAUUCAGUCCCAGAAAGUCUCGGCCACUUGCUGAAAUUGCACUACUUGGAUUUAAGCAACAACCAGUUUGUCCAAGAAUUGCCAAAGGAAUUGGAGAAGCUAGUUCAACUUUCAGAAUUAGAUGCAAGUCAUAACCUCUUUGGAGGAGAGAUACCAUUUCAAAUAUGCAGUUUGAAAAGCUUGGAAAAGUUGAAUCUCUCCCACAAUAAUCUCUCUGGUUCGAUUCCAAAUUGCUUUGAGGGAAUGCACGGUCUAUCAGUCAUUGACAUUUCUGAUAAUCAAUUGCAAGGCCCAGUUCCAAAUAGCACAGCAUUUCGGAAUGCCCCAGUGGAAGCGUUAGAGGGGAAUAAGGAAUUGUGUGGAAGUGUGAAAGGAAUGCAACCAUGCAAAGUUUUCUCGUCACACAAGCAAAAUUCUGGAGCCAAGUGGUUUGCAAUAGUGUUCCCUGUUUUAGGAGCAUUAUUUGUUUCAAUGGCGUUGAUAGCAAUUUUCAUUCUUCAAAAGCGGAAGUCAGACUCAGGAGAUCGACAGAGUAGCAACCAGAACCCUCAGGGAUUGCUUUCUAUAUUCAAGUUUGAAGGCAAACUUGUGUACGAUGAAAUUGUUAGAGCAACAAAUGAUUUUGCAGAUUUUCACUGUUUCUGAAAACCGUUUUCAAGGAACAAUCCCUAAAAGCUUGAGAAAUUGCACAAGCUUAAUCCGAGUACGGCUUGAUGGAAACAACCUUACUGGAAAUAUUUCAAAAGCUUUCGGCAUUUAUCCUAACCUGACUUUCAUAGAUCUCAGCCGCAAUAAUUUUUACGGUGAAAUCUCGUCUAACUUUGGGGAAUGCCCAAAAUUAGGCGCUCUCAACAUUUCGAGGAAUAACAUUACUGGAGGUAUACCGUGUGAGAUUGGAAACUGGUCUCAACUACAAGCACUCGAUCUUUCAUUGAAUCAUAUAGUUGGGGAGAUUCCAAAGGAACUUGGGAAGUUAAAUUCGCUAACCAAGCUCAUUUUGAGAGGGAAUCAACUUACAGGACGCCUGCCUACAGAAAUCGGCGCAUUCAAUGAACUUGAAUACCUCGACUUAUCUGCAAAUAGAUUCAACAAUUCAGUCCCAGAAAGUCUCGGCCACUUGCUGAAAUUGCACUACUUGGAUUUAAGCAACAACCAGUUUGUCCAAGAAUUGCCAAAGGAAUUGGAGAAGCUAGUUCAACUUUCAGAAUUAGAUGCAAGUCAUAACCUCUUUGGAGGAGAGAUACCAUUUCAAAUAUGCAGUUUGAAAAGCUUGGAAAAGUUGAAUCUCUCCCACAAUAAUCUCUCUGGUUCGAUUCCAAAUUGCUUUGAGGGAAUGCACGGUCUAUCA
rnacentral:lncRNA from 1 species